GCGUAGUCCCCAAAAAAAACCCUUCCUGCGUCGCCAUAGCUUACUCGUCGGUGGUUCUGGCCUCCUCGCCAGUCGCCACCUUUAUUCGAAACCCUCUCCUCUUCCAAGAAAAACCACGAGCAGCUAGUGAGCUACCAGCCUACCCUCUCAGUCCUCCCAUCUUCAAUUCUCUGAACCUGUACCUUUCUUUCACGAAAGCCGGCCACCAAGGGUAAGACGGAUUUGUAAUCUCGAAAUUCUGCCGCGUUCACCACCGUCUCACCACCUUCCGAUGGAGAUCCAAUUGGGUUCAACUACCACCGUUUCUCACCAAUCGCGUUUCUCACCACCACCACCACCGCCCGUUUUUCUUCAAAUUUAAGUGAAUUUAUGCACUACGGAGGUAUAUAUCUCUAUUCAAUUUAAGAUUCGGCUUAUUCAAUUUUUGUAAAAUUGAAUUAACUAUUUUCCCCCAAAUUUUAGGGUUUUGGCUCCAUUUUAUUUUUUAAUCGAAAGAGGGAACGAUCUACUAAGCUAGGGUUUCCUUUUUUCCUCUUUCGUUCAGAAUUAGGGAUUUGAGGACGCUUAAUUAUCAGGAUUUCAUCCGCAAACUCUGCACUUAGAUUUUGGGAUAUGGGUUGAGGUUGAUUCUUUUUGGUUAUGCUACUGCUCUUUAAGUAUAGGCAUCGCAAAGCAAAUGGAGAGGCGUCGAGAUUAGGUUUCAGAAAUUGAUGGUGUUUUUAAUGAUUAAAUAAGACAGCUGGUGUUGGAAAUGCUGCUGGAGUUGGAACUCAUUCCUGUACUGAAUGUGUUUCUGAAUGUGCUGCUAAAUGUGGAUUUCUGAUUGGAAGAACUGUGGCUGUUUUGAUAACUAUGACGAUUGGGACCUCGAUGGCUGCUCGUCAAGGUCCUCUAGCUAUGGCUGCUAAUCAAAUCUGUAUGCAAGUGUGGUUGGCUGUCUCUCUUUUAACUGAUGGAUUGGCCGCAUCUGGUCAGGUCUACACUCCGAGGAUUGCGCCUUAUGCGAGGAAUUUGAUGUGGUUCGUGAGCAAUGGGCUAAGUUUUUUACCAACAAGUAUUUAUUAUUGGCUUUAGCGCGCUUGAUCGAGUUGGUUUAGUUGUUAUAGAAUAAAUUUUAUAUUAAAAUGUAUGUUUAUGUUGAAAUUGGAACAUAUAUUUAAAUGUAAUAUGUGCACUUUGGU